AUUGAACGCUGGCGGCAUGCUUUACACAUGCAAGUCGAACGGUAACAGGCCGCAAGGUGCUGACGAGUGGCGAACGGGUGAGUAACGCAUCGGAACGUGCCCAGUCGUGGGGGAUAACACAGCGAAAGCUGCGCUAAUACCGCAUACGAUCUAUGGAUGAAAGCGGGGGACCGUAAGGCCUCGCGCGAUUGGAGCGGCCGAUGUCAGAUUAGGUAGUUGGUGGGGUAAAGGCUCACCAAGCCAACGAUCUGUAGCUGGUCUGAGAGGACGACCAGCCACACUGGGACUGAGACACGGCCCAGACUCCUACGGGGGGCAGCAGUGGGGAAUUUUGGACAAUGGGCGCAAGCCUGAUCCAGCAAUGCCGCGUGCAGGAAGAAGGCCUUCGGGUUGUAAACUGCUUUUGUACGGAACGAAAAGGCUCUGGUUAAUACCUGGGGCUCAUGACGGUACCGUAAGAAUAAGCACCGGCUAACUACGUGCCAGCAGCCGCAGUAAUAC
rnacentral:rRNA from 1 species